rnacentral:rRNA from 1 species
CCUACGGGUGGCAGCAGUGAGGAAUAUUGGUCAAUGGGCGCAAGCCUGAACCAGCCAAGUAGCGUGAAGGAUGACUGCCCUACGGGUUGUAAACUUCUUUUAUACAGGAAUAAAGUGAGGCACGUGUACCUUUUUGUAUGUACUUUAUGAAUAAGGAUCGGCUAACUCCGUGCCAGCAGCCGCGGUAAUACGGAGGAUCCGAGCGUUAUCCGGAUUUAUUGGGUUUAAAGGGAGCGUAGACGGGUUGUUAAGUUAGUGGUGAAAGGUUGCGGCUCAACCUUAAAAUUGCAUUUGAUACUGGUAGGCUUGAGUACAGUUGAGGUAGGCGGAAUGCGUGGUGUAGCGGUGAAAUGCGUAGAUAUCACGAAGAACUCCGAUUGCGAAGGCAGCUUACUAAGCUGCCACUGACAUUGAUGCUCGAAAGUGUGGGGAUCAAACAGGAUUAGAUACCCCUGUAGUC